UUUUUUUUUUUUUUUUUCUUUCUGGGUUUUCACUAUAUGAUAAAAAGUGGGAACUCUUUGUAAAUUUUUUAUUCAGAAUAUAUCCGGUCAUAAAAGUCUGUAAAUUGAUAAGUUUGUGACACAUGACGACCUUUCUUUACCUUUACAACUGUUAAAGUUUUAGUCAUGUCCACUUGUGUUGUCGUGGAAGGUGUUGACAUGACGUUAUACCUUCAUAACCCCCAUGUGUCAGUUGCACUCACUGUCAGUAGCCAAUCCAUGUUCGCUUGAAUUGUGACAUCGAAAGAGAACAUUGGUAAAUUAUUAGCAGAAAGCUUGUUCAUUGUAUUGACGUAUUGUGCUACUAGGGAGCGGAGAGGUAGGCAUCAUUUGCUGUUCAAAUGGCCAGAUCUUAGGAACAUUAUCGGCCAGCAUUUGUCUGCUUACUUUUUAAUUUAUUUGAACUGCUAGGAACAGGCUAUUCUCUUUUCUUGAUCACGUGUGGCAUUCGUGAUUCAAAUGUUAAUGAAUUAAAACUUGUAACCUCACUUGGACACAACUAUUCAAUUAUUUACGGUCUGGUGGGACACAAUCUAACAUCGACUGCAUACACACUUUGACAACUCCCUAACACUGGUCACCAAACCAGCUUGCUGGGUGGAAAACAAUUAUUUUGAACUUUUUGUAACACUAUAAAUUAGGUCUUCACCUUUUUUUCUACUCUUGUAUUAUAUUACCCUAAUCAACUUCGUAAUUAUCAUAGUUUAUAAAAAUGUAAAGGUACCUUAAAAAGGCUCACUGGCCACUUUACGGCAUCGGCUUUACCUCAACCGGGCCUCAUGCAGAAAAGCCCAAAAUACCAGACAAAGUUAAAGUGCCUUGCAAUGUAAGUCCAUAAAAAAUAUUAUUGCACAAUCUGCUUUUCAUAGAUGUCUUUCCAUAAUGCGUUCUUAGUAUCAGUUUUGUCAAGUUGUGUAAAUGUUAUGGUCAAACCCCUUCUUUUUAAGUAACCUUGACCCACUUAUUUAAGUUGGCUAUCAUUCAGCUUUGGAGUUAGGAUCUUAUGAUCAAAGAGUUGUGCGUGCUUCUCUGAGUGGGUUUCCAUGUAGCUGGACCACACCUCUAACCUAAACCUAUUAAAUGCUUUACCUUGUUGCAUGUGACGUGAGUCUUGAGAUGAUGGUUCAAGGUUCUUCACCAAUCUCUCAUUUUACACUAAAAUUUAAUUAAGGAUCCUGCAGAAAUAAAAUAUUAUCAAUAACUAGAAAGUUUAAUUUAUUAAAAUCUGGCAAAAAAAAAAUUAUCUGUUACUUUUCAUUUUCAAAUUAAUGGUGGUCUAGAUGUGCUAGUUUGUUUUCAUUAUUUGGCAGGCAAGUGACUAACCUAUUCAAAUAGCUGCAUUUUAUUAAUAUCAGUUUAUAACAUUUUGGCAAAGGCAAUGAAAUGAAUGAAUGGAUAUCUCUGCCACGCGUCACAUGUGCACAGAUUUCUAUGAUAUCCAUGGGAAGCAUAGUAAACGGCACAGUCCUUCGCAAAUGGGUCCCUAUGUUUGUUUAAGAAUCUUGCAUCUACUCUCCUUUUCAUGCGCGUGCCUGUACACACUUUUUUUUCCUUCCCCGUUCUCUCCUUUACAUUCUUUAUUCAAUUCAAACAUGGUAAAAUGAUAAGUAAUGUUUAAUCUAUUGAAAUAUAAAAUAUUCAUUAGUACAAAAUCAUCUUAUACUCAACUUCCACAUUCUCCUACGUAGCUUCAAUCACCACCAUCAGUCGUGUCUUCGUCAACGGCUGUAAACAACUCAGUUCAUUUCUUGAAACUAGCUCAUGUAUUCCAUUGUUAAAAAGAUGGUACUCUGAGUAGUAGACAAAAAAGUUGAAAUAUUUGGUGAAAACAUAGAAGAAUAUGGUGAAAUGCAGCGAAAGGCGCGUGGAGUAAAAGGAAAGCAGUGGUGAGUGAGAUAGGGGAGGAACAACUUAAAGGAUGAUUGGAGGCAAUGAAAUUGUUAAAGCUUAUAUCGUGUGGUCACGUGCGGUGCACCUUCCUCCUUCUUCUUUUCACCUCUCCCUGUCUUAUUCCCACGUGACGUCUUUCACGCACACCCUUCUUCUAUCUUCUUAUUUCGUAUCUGCCACUCCCACCCCAUCAUUUCUUCAUUUCCAAAUAACAUAUUAUUAUUUUACCAUCUUCUUAAUGUGCCCUGACAAAUUAUGAGAAGUCUAAAAAACAAGACAUAAUAACAAUAAUAGUGUGUUUGUAUUGUGAAAACAGAGAGAGAAAGGUGAGAAAGCAAAAAAGGCAGGCAUUUGCUACAGACAGACACUGUAGCAGAAGAGUACAGGUUUUUGGUUAUUUAGUAUUUACAUUUAGACUUACAAAACAAUAGUAUUACCACUGCACCUCUCAGUUCUCACACCACACGGAUGGACACAUGAAUUCUGUGAAAGUGUCAUCAACUUUUAUAUUCCCAACACCCCAUUUUCAUUUUCCUUCCUCUCCUUCUAUCAUCUAUCUGCCCACGUUCCUCCUCACACUCUUUUACUGCCUCCUACUACCUAUCAUUAUAUCUUUAUAAUAUUUUGGCUUAAUACCUCCCUCGGUCCUCGUAUUUGUGUGAAAAUCUCAGUUCGGUCUUCAAGUUUUGAACUGUCUCAAUUGGGUCAUAAUUUUUGUAAAAUUACACACAUUUUACUCCAACAGUUAACUGAUCUCAAACGGCGUUAAGUUUAGCUGACGUGUUGGCUUAAUCCCUUCUUGGUCCUCGUAUUUGUGUGAAAAUCUCAGUUCGAUCCUCAAGUUUUGAAGUGUCUCGAUUGGGUCAUAAUUUUUGUAAAAAUGAACACAUUUUACCCCAAUCGUUAACUGAUCUCAAACGACGUUAAGUUUAGCUGACGUGGUAGCCAGAAGACAUGCUGAUGUGUAUUAUUUAAUUAUAUGAAUUAUUUUUUAAAAUAAGCAGUGUUUCACGUGGCAUAAUGCCUACUAUUUAGUUUAUUUGAAUUAGGGAUUUUAUUCAUCUCUCUGAGAAUCAGGGAUUUUACACAGAUUAUCUCGUCGGCUCAAAAAAUAAAGUCACCGGAAAACUCGCGUAACCAGUGCAAUCAGUCUCACAGUCUUUUCUGCAAAUGAACCAACUUGGUAACGUAUAGGUUCAUCACCAGCCUUUAAGCUAUUUAUUCCACUGAUAGCAGAAGAUAACUGUUGCACAGUGAGAUCAGUUAGUGAUUGGGGUAAAAUGUGUGCAUUUUUACAAAAAUUAUGACCCAAUUGAGACAAUUCAAAACUUGAGGACCGAACUGAGAUUUUUACACAAAUACGAGAACCAAGAAGGGAUUAAGCCAACACGUCAGCAUACCACGUCAGCUAAACUUAACGCCGUUUGAGAUCAGUUAAUGGUUGGAGUAAAACGUGUGCAUUUUUACAAUGACCCAAUUGAGACAGUUCAAAACUUGAGGACCGAACUGAGAUUUUCACACGACCAAAGGAGUUAUUAAGCCUAAUAUUUUUACAUCUCAAUUUAGAUCACAUACACGUAUUAUCUGCAUAUUUAUUCUUCACCUUUGUUCCAACCAUUUCCCAUCAGCCCCCUCCAUUAUUGUAUUAUAAUACACAUUGCAUCAAUCUUAUAAAAACGGGAAAUCUUGACAGCUGAAUUAACAAAAUUGAUGAACAUGUUAUGCAAUAGUUUCGUAUUCAAGAAAACAAUUCAAAAUUAAUAUGAAUAUAUUUUUAUAGACACUUCACACUUUUUUCUUUCUUUCUUUCUAUCACGUUAUAUGGUAUUGCUUAUUGUAUUUAUUAGAUACAUCUACUGUAUUCUUCGUCAUAUUUCUAGUUUGUGGGCAUUAAUUACGUAUUAAGAAUACAAGUAGCAAAGCUAAUCAAAUUAUUAUUUGAGAGAUUUCCUUCACAUUCAUUGCGGCUGAUAAUGCUUAUGAUAUUGACAAAUACAAUACCGUUAGGUGGGCUUUUCUAUUUUUUUUUUUCGCUCUCAUAAAUAGCCGUUGGGUAGGUUUUGUUUUACAAGUUUUAUUGGUUGUUGUGUUUGCUAGUUGUUGGUUAAGAUUAUGGUACCAUAAUUUGGUAGUGUGCUAGUGUUUUCACAUAGGUUUUAUUAAGGCAAAAGCUAUCUAUAUUUAGGAGGUAAAAAUCCUAUUAUAUCCAGAAACUAUUUUGGAAAAUUUUAACAAUCAUGAUCUAAAAUAGCAGCAUUGAUUUUACCGAAACGUCUAAUAAUAAACAGAUAUAUUAUUCACAACAUGAGUCCAAAAUCUCCUUUAUGCUAGUCUUACAAGAAUAUAAAUUCUUUAUCUAUUCCUUUUCCUGUCAAAAAUUUCUUUUCCACACAACCUUUCUUUUUCUAUUAUUUUCCCACUGCUUUCUGUCUUUACCAAAGUUGUUGAUCUGCCAAAAGUCUCGUGCACGCAGAUGAUUUUUCCCCUUUUCUGCUGAACACGGAGGCGAACCUUGAGACUUGAGUACUUCACUAAUAACAAGUAUCAUUCAAGAUUCAUCUCCCUCUUCAUUUCACCAUUCCCAAAUACCAAGUGCUCCCUCGAAUCUUCCCAUCCUUAGAAGAAACCACUUGUGAAUUGAUGAAUCUGGGGGAAUGGAUUAUUAUUCCUCCGCAGUGCAUGGUUGCGAGAUUAUGUAAAAAAAAAAUGUGAAAAAUGAAAGUAAGUUUUAUUUUACUAAGAUACAGAACUUAAUUGAGAAUAUGUGUGUAAGAAAUAAAAAAUAAAGAAAAAGCACCAAUUGGCAACAAGACCCUACCCUACACUCUAGCCACAGUGGGUUACAUUUUGAUAAAGACAAACAGCAUUUCGUCAUCUUCCAUUAAACACUUUCCUCUCUCUCAGUAUCUCUCUCUUUCUUUCUCUCUCUCGUUCUAUCAGACAGACUCUCACUCACAACUCACAAAUAGUAGCCACCUUGCAAUCUGUUACUGAGGAUAAUAGACCACUCCACCUCACAACCAAGCAACGCUAAGCAAUCUUUCAUUUAUUGACUGUGCUUUUAUAGAGCUACCAUCCCAAAAAUCAACUCUUGUGUCACACAAUGGCCAUGCCAUGACUUGGCAAGUGUUAUUCUGAAACCAAAUAAAAAGAAAAAAGAAAAAAAUGGAGACAGAUAGAGAGAGACCCCAUCGCAGCACAAGUAGCAAUAGCAGUAGCACAAGUGAGUUGUUUGUUUGCUUCACUUCUCGUUUGUCCUCUUCAUCCAUGAAGCUCUCUUCUAAGUCCAUUCUCAGCCCAAGCCGCAGCAGAGACCCUCCUCAGAUUUCCCUUUCUUCUUCCCUCAGCAGGAGGCUCAAGAGCAAUGGAAGCAUGAAAGGAGGCCAAGCCUCUCCCAUGUUCCCAACUGCUGGCAAGAGAAGAGGGUGUGGCUUUGAGAACCCCGAACCUUCUUCUCCCAAAGUCACUUGCAUCGGCCAGGUGAGGGUGAAGACCAAGAAGCAAGGAAAGAAGAUAAGGGCAAGGUCUAAGAGGAGGGGGGAGGCUAGCUUUAGGAAGGGUGAACAAGGUGGUGCAAAUGCCAAUGGAAAUGGAAAUCCUAAUGCAGAUCUAACUAGACAAAACAGCCAAGGGUUUCAGCAUCACCAGAACUGCUUGAAGCAUCGGAAUCAGAGAUGGGUGCAUCUCCCCUUGACAAUAUGUGAGGCCUUGAGAGAGUUCAGCUGCUUCUUUCCUUGCAGGUCUUCUUGCAUGUCAAGUGAGAAGGAGAAGGAAAAGGGUGGUGGAGUGGAAGGGGGAGGACUUGUGAGAGAGGGUUCGUGUGGGAAUGGACUUGGAAGGUGGCUGGUGGCUUUGCAGGAUGGGGAUGGGAAGGGAAGGGGGAUUGAGUUAGUGAUGGAGGAAGAAAUGGAGGAUGGAAGAGACACAGGUGAGAGGAGCCACAGCCAGAGGAGGCAUGUGUUUGAAGACAUCGAUGUUGAUUUGGUGGUAGGAGAGGAAGAAGAGAAGAAGAAUGAUGAGGUGGUAGGAGAGGAAGAAGAGAAAGCAAGAGUUAGCAUAUGUAUUCCUCCGAAAAAUGCUCUUUUAUUGAUGAGAUGCAGAUCUGAUCCAGUCAAAAUGGCAGCUCUGGCUAACCGUUUUUGGGAAUCACCUGUUCACAUAAAUAAAUGUCAAGAAGAAGAGAAAGAAGGGGAAGAACAUGAUGAAGAAGACAGUGGGGAUGAAGAUGAUCAAGAAGUAGAAGAUGACGACACAGAGCAACCCAUCAAAGUGAAAGAGGAUGAGCAACAAGUACAAGAAGAAGAAGUUGAAAGAGAAACCAAAGAAGAUACUAUUUGCGAAAGAGAAACAGAAACUAUUGUGGUGGUCAGUGAAGAAGAAGAACAACAAGCGGGGAAGGAAAGCUAUGAAGUUGAAAGCGUAGCAAACAUAGAAAGCAGAGAGUUUCAUGAAGUAAAAGAGGACGAAGAAAAGGGUGACCAAGAAGCAAAUGAAAAUACCAUAGAAAAAGGUGAAACUUUAACACAUCCUGAAGCUCAUUCAGAUCUGGACAACCUUAAAACCGAAGAAAAAGAGAUUAAUCUCCAGGAGGGUAAAGAAGAAGUGAGCGAAAACAACGAAAGCUCAGAACUUUCUUCCACCCCAGAAACGUUCACAGCUUCAGAACCGGAAAACGACGACGGAGAGCCAGAAACGGAAGCAGUGACGACCGAAACUUCAGAAGGGUCAACGGAGGAGGAAGAAGAGAAAGUGACUACGGAGACUGAAAGUCAAGAUCCGACCCAUGACCCGAAUUCAGAUCCACAGUCAAAGGAGCGAGAAAAUGGGUCAAAAUGCGAAGAUAGAGAAAGGGAAACGUUGCCGGAGUGCUUGUUGCUGAUGAUGUGCGAGCCGAAGCUGUCAAUGGAGGUGUCCAAGGAAACCUGGGUGUGCAGCACCGACUUCAUACGGUGGCUACCAGAGAGGCCUGCCGCCGCAGGAGCCGCCAAAAGGCUGACUGGAGAGACCUUUACGAAGACCAAGCCAAAGCCGAAGCCUUCUCCACCGCUGGUGCAGCCACCACGGUCGUCGUGCUCGUUCCCGGCGGUUGGCGGCGCCGCCGGAGUGUCAAUGGCUACAAUGAUUGAGCAGAAGCUGGUGGGGUCCAAAUCAGGUAAUGGGUACGAGCCAUUUGUGCUCACGCGCUGCAAGUCGGAGCCGAUGAGGUCAUCGGCUAAGCUAGCUCCGGAGGCUUGCUUUUGGAACAACAGGAAGCUUGAGCCGCAUCCACCCGCCGCUCAGCUUGGGGUCGGCGCGCCGGCUGGUGUUGGGUUUUGAUUUUCAUUUUAAUUCUCUCUUCCUGAAAAAUCUCAAAUUUCCCUUUUUUUUUAAUUGACAGAAUAAUCAACUGUUGUUAUUAUUAUGUGUAGAUUACCUCUAAACUUUGGGCUGCUUUGGUAAACUAGGAUUUUGAUUAUACUCCUAUUUUGGUGUUUUUAGAAUGUAAUCUUUGUAUAAAUAGUUUUAGUGAUGCUAUUUGUUUUGGGGUCCAUUGUUACUCGUUAGUGAGUUUAUAAUAAGAGUUUUAAUUUACUUGUGCAUUGUUAACUAGUAAUUUGAUAUAAUCUUGUAUUUUUACUUCUGUGAUGGUUGGUAUAUUUCUUAGUUGGAACAUAUUAUGGAAGUGGUUGAAGGAUUGAAGUAUGUGUAUAUGCGUGCUCUUGAGGGCAUCAAGAAAAAGUGAAUGGGACAUUUUGUUAAGGUUGUUGUGUCUGCUUGUCUAAUGCCAUAAUUAGGUUGGAAUUCCUGUGGACUUUGGUCAAUGGUCGUUCAUCGUUUUAAAGAACUACAAGCUUCUGUAAUGUUCAUAGUAGUUGCAUGUGUAAUAGGGAAUUAAAUUACAGGAAAACAGUCAAACCACAAGUUUGACUAGUCAUUAGUGAAAUGAAAUGAUUUUUUCCAAUAAUAUCUGCCAAGUACAGAUUAUUAAUGAACUUCAUAAAUAGUAGCAAUUGAUUUUGAGAUAAAUAUUAGUUAAUAGCUUAGUCACAGAGGUUUUGAAAGGAACUGAAGGAAGGAUAAGCUGUAAAGUUGGCAUUUUGUCUUUCUCUAAAACUGUUUCCUCAGUCAAUAAUGCAGUCUGCAGUAGAAUCAGUUCCCAAGGAAGCAAAACUAUAGUAUGAUUAUCUCAUGCAAGACAAACCCAAACAUAACAAAGAAAGCAAAUCAUGUUUAUUCAUUUAAUUUACUCCUUAGAUUCACACUCUUUGAGGCACCUUUGGACUCAAUAUCAUUAAAAUUUGAGAGAUUAUAUUCAAUUUACUUCAAAUAGCUUUCUUUCAACAAAUACAUACUAUUUCAAGUAAAAAAUUUGAACUAAUUUAAAAAUUAAGAUCUAUGUAAAAAGCUGAUUUUUUUUUGGUUGAUAUGAAAUGAUAUUAUGAUUAAUAUACAAUAACAAGUGAAUUUUAUUAUUUUGUUAAAUACGUGUUAGAAAACUAUAUAAUUAUAUUUAUCAAUUAGUUUUAUGUUAUUACUUACCAUGAUGGGAAUAUUAACCUGUAGUUUUUACAUUGAUUACAAUAUAAUUUUAUAUUAACAAUAACAUUUCAUAUUUUUUUAACACGAUUGAUGAAACAAAAUAACAAUCAAUUAAAAAAAGUAAAACAAAACAAACCUCAAUUAAAAGUAUAAUUUUUUAAAUAUUUAAUAAACUAAUACAAUUUAAUAGGAAUUCAAUUAAAAAUAUCCAAAUAUUGUUAACUUAAAACUUAACCUAAGCACUUAAUGUAAGAUGAUUACACAAUAGCUAGUUUCAAAAUGUACUCCUCAACAUGUUUUAUUUUGGUAUUGACCCCUUUUCACAAUCAGCAGCAAAACAAGAAAAGUAAUUUUUUUCAUGUAUUAACAUGAAUAAGAAGUGUUUAUAAGUAUGUUAAACCGUGAGAGUGGAUUGCUUCUUGGUUAAGAAGUUUGAUGAUGAGAAAAAGGUAGUUGUGAUUGGGAAUCUUAAGUUGAAAAAGGACGAACAGAUAAACACAAUGGAAGCUGCUAACAUAAAGUGUUUUUUUCUGCAAACUUUUUGAACAAGUUGAAAAUGGUGUAGGGAAUGGGAUAUACACAUUUCUCCUUGGCACAUGGAUACCACAAAAUCAAUAAUGAAAUAGACCUUCCCAAACCCUAUAGAUGAAACUAUUAGUCAAAGGUAUUUUUUUUUUUUUACGUUAACAACUUUUUUUAACAACUUUUAACAAUAGAUUAUGUGUCAUUAUUUUAUUGAUAUGUAUAUUUAAAACGGAUAAAUCACGAACUAUCAUACAAUACAAAAUGAUUGUAAAAAAACAUGUUAAAAAAACUUUUUCCUUUUUUCAUACAUUAAAAGUUACUUCUUUUUAAAACCACAUAAGUACUAUAUUUUACUUAGGAAAAUCUCUAUAUUGUCUAUGUGUAAAAGCAUGUUAUUGUCUAUUCAAUUUUUCCUUGUGUGAAUGGCCAAAAUUUAUUUUUGGUAAACAUUAUUUUGAUCUCUUGUAUAUGAUUGAAUAAUUAAUCUAAGACUUUUUAGCAUAUUAUUGAUUCCCCACUUUUGGAGAAAGAGAGAAUAUGCAAUGUCUCCCACCAAUUUCCACCUAUGACCUAUUGAGAAAUACUUUUUUAGUGAGAAUAAAAAAUGUUUUAUAAUAUUUAUAUAGAAAAAGUGUACAAUAAUUCUUUAAAUAAAAACAACAAACUAAUUAAUUGCUUUUACACUUUAAAUGUUUUUCAUAAUUUAAAAAAUAAAAUGACUAAAUUAAUACUAGUUUAAUCUACUUAUUUUUAUUCAUCCAAUAUUAUAACUUUUUACAUUUAUUUUGAAAAAAUAUUAUGGAAACAACAAUUUAACCUUAACUCUAUUUAUUAUUGAAUCUUUUGAAAGGAAUAUAUAAUAUUAUUAAUAACCCAUAUAAAAUAAAGGAUUCCUUAAGAUAAACAUAUACAAUGAAAAAGAGUUAUUGCAUGAAAAAACAAAUAGUAAUGGUAUAUUUGAUAGGGAUAAUACUAACCAUAAAAAUUACUGAGUUUGAAGAUAAUGCAAAACUGGACUACUGUACUUCAUAUAAUCGAUAACCACAAUGAUUGGCUCUAGCAGCUAAAGUUGAUGAUGUGGGAAAUGUUGUUACACAGUAUACAGUAUAAUAACAAGAUUUAUGUCCAUAGUUUGAAGUUAUAGGUAAGAAAAAAAAAGAGGGAUGUGGUGAAGAGGUGAGGAGAAGAGUAAGCGCGAAUCAUUCAUCCAAUAAUGACGGCACCACUACCUCGAACCCCUCCUGGUUCUAUCAUGGAUAUCAACGCAUUUAAGGCAUCAAUGUUUCUUUGUUUAGUGACCCGGGGAAAACACUGGUUAAACACCCCGUAUAUCAUCUGACCCGUUUAGGGUUUAACAAAGAAUGCAUUGUACCCGACCCCACAUCCCGUGUACGCAAGUCUUUCAAAUGACCAUAUAUAAACCUGUGUAAAUAGUGAGAUAUUUUCGAUGUGGUACUUACAAAUUCGAGUUUUCCUAGUCCUAAAGUCUUAAUUCUGUUUAUAGUAUCUCCCAC
rnacentral:lncRNA from 1 species